rnacentral:lncRNA from 1 species
AUGUCAUGAACCCCUUUCCCGUCUUUACCUGAAAAGGAGCUACCUUACCCCAGCAUAUACCUGCGGGAUGUUCUCUCCAGUUCAUUUUUACCUGGUGUCUUGAAAUCCGAGCAAUUCCUAAAAAGGCAUUUUUGCGAGCCCUUGUGGACUAUACCAGUGACAGUGCUGAAAAGCGCAGGCUACAGGAGCUGUGCAGUAAACAAGGGGCAGCCGAUUAUAGCCGCUUUGUACGAGAUGCCUGUGCCUGCUUGUUGGAUCUCCUCCUCGCUUUCCCUUCUUGCCAGCCACCACUCAGUCUCCUGCUCGAACAUCUUCCUAAACUUCAACCCAGACCAUAUUCGUGUGCAAGCUCAAGUUUAUUUCACCCAGGAAAGCUCCAUUUUGUC